rnacentral:lncRNA from 10 species
ACAGUCUAUUCCGGUUCAGGAGGCUGCCUGAUUCUUGAACUGUUCUUUGCUCAAUUAAAUUCUGUUAAAUUUAACUAGUCUAAAGUUUUUCUUUUAACAUAAGAAAUGUGCUUUUUAUUGUCUCCAAAGAAAGAACACCAUGUCCAUGAUGGCUUCGUUACUUUCUGUAAGAGCAGGGUAUCUUUCAUACAGUGUAGAGUACUGAGUAAAAGUCAGGGAUUACUGCUAAUUCAUUCCAGGCAUAAGAGACUUGGGGCAUGCACAGGUAGAUGAAGUAACAAGAGUUAGCACCCAUUUCUAGCAUAACACCUGAGAGGUAAAGGCUGUUCUCAGAGAUGCAAUCAUUCUUCACGUUUCAUAAACAGAAACCCAUGAGGCAAGAAGAAUUUGGGUGAUAUUUUUCCUCUUUCCCAGAUAGCAGCAGUAUAGAAUAGAAUAGCACUAAUUGGGCCUUAAAAUCGCAAAAGUUUAACUCUAUUCUCCCUACCUCCUCACCCCUUCAUCCUCUCACCAGCCUCAGCCUCAUAAGCUCCUUUUUCUGUGGAGCUCCCUAUAAGAUGUUUUUGUUUUUUGUUUUUAAAUAGAGACAGUGUCUCACUCUGCCACCCAUGCUGAAGUGCCGUGGUGCAAUCAUAGCACACGGCAGCCUCAAACUCCUGGGCUCAAGCAAUCCUCUCACCUCAGCCUCCCAAAUAGCUGGGACUACAGGUGCCUGCCACCAUGUCUGGCUAAUUUUUUUACUUUUUUGUAGAGAUAAGUCUUAUGAUGUUGCCCAGGCUGGUCUUGAUCUCCUAGCAUCAAGCAAUCCUCCCACCUCAGUAAAGUACUGGGAUUACAGGCAUGAGCCACUGUGCCUGGCCAGAUGUCAUUUUUUAAAAGAAUUCUGGGGACUAAACAUUUGAACUGAUGAUCAGUUUAUCAUCAGUAACCAAGUUUAAGAAAUUCUAGACAAUCAAAUGAACCAUCUUGAAGUUUUUCCCCUGGAAGGAAAGAAGUUGGAGGAGUAAGUCUCCAUUGAAAACUGCUGUAGUGUGAGGGUGUCACUUGAGAAAGCGGCCUUAUAAAAUGAUGGAUCAAGGUUUUUACCACCAUAGACUUGACUGGCAUACAUUUCAAUCAUCAAUGAGAAAAAGCCAUAUAGCUACAUUUUGCCCUUUAGAGUCAAGCAUACCAUAUCACAGAAUAAGAAUUAGGAAUCUUCAAAAGGGAGGCUUUUCCCAAAAGGGCCACAGGUAGCAUGAGUAUAUGUCUGCUCAAUGAGCAUGAAAUUGUACUUUCUUUCUUUCUUUCCCAAAUGCAUUUUGUUUCCUUAAAUAAGGCAAAAAUUCACUUAAAAAAAAGAAGGCUUCCACGGCAUGUAUUGAUCCUUUAGCAUGAACAUUUAUAUUAAUGGUUAAGGAUAAAAUUUAAGCAUUUAAGGGGAGAAAAAAAAAU